rnacentral:rRNA from 1 species
UUCGGCCUUAGUGGCGCACGGGUGCGUAACGCGUGGGAAUCUGCCCCUCGGUUCGGAAUAACAGUUGGAAACGACUGCUAAUACCGGAUGAUGACGUAAGUCCAAAGAUUUAUCGCCGAGGGAUGAGCCCGCGUAGGAUUAGCUAGUUGGUGUGGUAAAGGCGCACCAAGGCGACGACCCUUAGCUGGUCUGAGAGGAUGAUCAGCCACACUGGGACUGAGACACGGCCCAG